rnacentral:rRNA from 1 species
GUGGGGAAUAUUGGACAAUGGGCGAAAGCCUGAUCCAGCCAUGCCGCGUGUGUGAAGAAGGUCUUCGGAUUGUAAAGCACUUUAAGUUGGGAGGAAGGGCAGUAAGUUAAUACCUUGCUGUUUUGACGUUACCGACAGAAUAAGCACCGGCUAACUUCGUGCCAGCAGCCGCGGUAAUACGAAGGGUGCAAGCGUUAAUCGGAAUUACUGGGCGUAAAGCGCGCGUAGGUGGUUUUGUAAGUUGGAGGUGAAAUCCCCGGGCUCAACCUGGGAACUGCCUCCAAAACUGCAUGACUAGAGUACAGUAGAGGGUAGUGGAAUUUCCUGUGUAGCGGUGAAAUGCGUAGAUAUAGGAAGGAACACCAGUGGCGAAGGCGACUACCUGGACUGAUACUGACACUGAGGUGCGAAAGCGUGGGGAGCAAACAGGAUUAGAUACCCGUGUAGUCC